rnacentral:lncRNA from 1 species
GAUUUCUCUUAAUGAACUUGUAUGUUGGGAAAUGACCUUAAUAGAUGUAUCAUUUAUGUUUAUUUCUCUAUGUGGAUGACGACUUGGUGUAGAAAUUUAGUUUGCUAUAGCCAUGAUAAUAUUGGUAGUGUUAUCUGUACAAGAACCUAGAGUAAAUAAUUUGUAUCAUUUGCAUACAGGGGUGUCUUGAGCUCUUUUUUUCUUUGGAUCAAGCAAACAAAUUUUCGUUAAAUUGACCAAACACCCUUAUAGAAGAAGUAUAUACCAAAAAGUAGAAAACCCACAAAAUGUCUUGAGCAUUUUAUUUGCCAAGCCUAUUAUUGUUUUAACUAUAUCUAAUAUGAUAGUUGAUGGGGUCUCUGUUCUGAAUUUAUUAGAAGCGCUGUCUGGUUAUCCUUUUGACAAAAACCAAGUGUAUUUCUGUAUUACUUAGCCUUUUUGUGAGCAUUUUAUUUGCCAAGCCUAUUAUUGUUUUAACUAUAUCUAAUAUGAUUGUUGAUGUGUUCUCUGUUCUGAAUUUAUUAGAAGCGCUGUCUGGUUAUCCUUUUGACAAAAACCAAGUGUAUUUCUGUAUUACUUAGCCUUUUUGUCUCUAUUGAUUAAUUGUCUGGGUAAUCUCCUGUUUCAUGGAGAGGGCCAAAAAAAAUUUCUUUUUCUCCUUAUUGUUUACUGUAUCCUAUAGUCUCCAUAGUAUUGUUAGAAUCAGGAGAAGAUACGUGUGUAGAAGUUUUACAAUUUAUUUUUGUUGUAUGUGAAAUAUGCUUUGUUCUAUCUCCUUUUAUGAAUCCUCCCUUCAAUUGGGCUAUGCAUGCUUUCUUUUUCUCCUUAUUGUUUACUGUAUCCUAUAGUCUCCAUAGUAUUGUUAGAAUCAGGAGAAGAUACGUGUGUAGAAGUUUUACAAUUUAUUUUUGUUGUAUGUGAAGA